CGGAGCAUGGUGUAACGGCUAACAUGUUCGCUUUGGGAGCGAAUGACUCUGGGUUCGAAUCCCAGUGCUCCG
rnacentral:tRNA from 1 species